AUGCACGCUGGCGGCGUGCCUCAUACCUGCAAGUCGAGCGCACAGAUGAGGAGCUUGCUCCUCUGACGUUAGCGGCGGACGGGUGAGUAACACGUGGAUAACCUACCUAUAAGACUGGGAUAACUUCGGGAAACCGGAGCUAAUACCGGAUAAUAUAUUGAACCGCAUGGUUCAAUAGGGAAAGACGGUUUUGCUGUCACUUAUAGAUGGAUCCGCGCCGCAUUAGCUAGUUGGUAAGGUAACGGCUUACCAAGGCAACGAUGCGUAGCCGACCUGAGAGGGUGAUCGGCCACACUGGAACUGAGACACGGUCCAGACUCCUACGGGAGGCAGCAGUAGGGAAUCUUCCGCAAUGGGCGAAAGCCUGACGGAGCAACGCCGCGUGAGUGAUGAAGGUCUUCGGAUCGUAAAACUCUGUUAUUAGGGAAGAACAAAUGUGUAAGUAACUAUGCACGUCUUGACGGUACCUAAUCAGAAAGCCACGGCUAACUACGUG
rnacentral:rRNA from 1 species